UUUCAAUCUGUUCUGCUAGAAGCUAAAUUAGCUUCCCCAUAUGAAUAUCAUAUUAUGAUGUAAGGUGAAAUUUGAGAAAGGUAAAACGUGACUUGUGUGCUACAGGCCUAGAGAGACAUUGAUUCCUCUUUUGUCUUCUUUUUCAGUCGUUGGCACAUACAACACCUCAUCACAUUUGUCGUUCCGUAAGGGAAUGCUUCCGGGAUGUGUGGCAUCCAAAACCGAAAACGAAUGGUGGGACAGAUAUCUCAGAUCCAGUGUUGAUGUCUUGCAUAAGAAAGCUACAUCAUACUGUUGUAACCAUGGGAAUCGAAGAUCAGACAAGAAAAAGAAGCGGACUGAAAGGACCUGCUCAUGUUUACCCUGGCCUGUCUGUCAAUCAAAGAGACAGAUGAAAACGUGUCCCUCUGUUAGCAUAUGUUCACUUUUCAAGACCACUAAAGUCACCUUGCAUCUUUUUACGUUUUUCUUAUUUUAGUUGCCUUGAGGAACGUUUUAUUCCUCCGAAAUUGCUCUUUCGUAGCUCAGGUACAGUAUAAGCUAUAAGUAAGUAUUUCAUGUCCAUCUGAAACCAUUAAAAAAUCAUUUUUAUCUUAGAAUAUUUGUUUUAA
rnacentral:lncRNA from 1 species